AUCCGCCUCGCUGCUUGUGAAUUACCAUUAGCAAGACCAUACACAAAGUGCAUAUCGCACAUUUCACUAUAAGUGUACUCCAUUUUAGACAAAAAUGAGGAAAUUGUCUACUUGACAGGAAAAAAACAACACCUUAUCACUGAGCCACACCUAGUAAUGUUAAAUGAACUGGUAUUUUAUUUAUUGCAUUUUCAAAGCAACGAAAAGAAUGCGACAAAAACUAAAACGAUAAUAGUAUUUACUAAAUUUUGUUUAAUACGUAUUUACAAUUUCAACAUUCCGCAGUAUUUUUUAGAUCAGCAGUUGUUAAUGCUGUACUUGAUAUUCGACACUAUGAAUAGGUAAGUAUUACAUUUUAGGAAGAAAAUUAUUUCUUUGCUUUCGCGUGAUUUAAAAGCAUUUACUUGUAUUUUUACAGAGGGAUGCAAAAAAGCAAUUCUUAAUUUUUUUAUCGAAAACGGAGGGAGAUACGAAAAACACCCAAGAGUUGAAACAAUUCCAUCUUUAGUUGCGUCAUCCAAAAAAUGUACAGAAGGUUCAAAAAAUCUACUAGGUGCUAUUUUUUGUACAAAAAACCUAACCCGCUUACCCCGUGGGCACGUCCCUGGAAUAACAAAUCAACUGUCAUAUGUCAAAAAGAUACAUCAUUAAGAUAUCCAGAAAUGGUGUGAAUGACAUUGCAAACAGCAAAGGCAUUUCUUAGAUAUUAAUAAAAAAUCGAUUUUUUAAGAAAAUUUGAACACCCUGUAUCUCGGAAACGAAGCACUUUCGGACAUAUGUUUAUAGGAACUUUUCGUCAUAAUUUAACCCAAAAAAACCGGCAUUUCAUUUUUGUGCAAUAUUAAUGAAUCACCCUGUAUAUCUAAAAAGAAUAUUCAGGCAUUUAGAAACAAACAAUUAAAAUUCGGAAAUAAAACUCUGUUAUCACCAAAAAAAAAAUCCCCAACGAAAUAUGAUAAUUCCGCGGAUAAGUCAGAUUCAACGAGUGAAUCUCAAUUAAAUUAUUUAGAUCAUGAGCCAUAUUUUCAAGAAAAUGAAGUUCAUAUCUUACACAGAGCGGCUAGAAUAUUAAAGAAUCAAAUGCGCGAAUUUCAAUCCAAGCGGAAAGAAUUUCCCAUUCCUAAGGACAUAAAUGAGAGAAUUUUUCAAGAACAACUUCCUAAAACGUUGCUUCAAUUUAUUUCUUAUUUUAGGUGCAUAUAUCAACUAAAAAUUUGGUAUAACAGUCACAUACCAUAUAUGAAUUUUGAAGACCCAAGAAAAUAUGGAUAUAGAGUCUAAUAUAUGGACUCCAAUAUUUGCGACACAGGAUCCCGUCCCAAAGGAACUACGGAAAAUUUUAGUUCUUCGAUGUUCCGAUGGAAACUGCAAAACUAAAAAGUGUAUAUGUGUAUCCCAGGGCUUGAAGUGUUAUAACGACUGUAACUGUAUCUUAAGUUAUUAUUAUUCGCCAACUUCAUUUAUAAAUUACUCGUAGAUGGUUAAUAAAUGGCGGCAGUUGGAAGUACGUUCGGUCGGCAACGCUGUAGAGCCAAUAACACCUCUACAAAAGGACAAAGCGCUCCAAAAAAUUUUGCUCGUGACGUCACGCGUUUGGGCCAUACACUUCGGGUUGCUUUUCGGGUGAAUUCAGCUGUUGACGCUGCCGUUGUUUGUCCACGGAAGGCUGCCUGCAACGCUGCCAGACUUUGCCGAUUGCCGUGAACAUUAGGAUGAUGUAUUACUAUCUUAAAAUAAUUAAAUCUAUAUCUUUAACUGCUCUUACUUACAUUUAGUUAAAAAAAAAAAAGAGUGCAUCAUUAUUUCUCUUUUUAUAAUUUAAACUUUUUUCCAUUUCCAUUUUUUCAAAUUUUAUCAUUUAUCUAAUACCACAGAACACAAAUAUACCUUGUUACUUGCCAAUAGGAGUUCUUUCUAUAUAAAUCUGACAACGGCGCAUCUACUAGUUGUGCCACCUGAUGAAACGAGAGGUUAGGUUGUUUAUAUUUAUGUUCUGUGGUAGCCGGUAUUUCUGACGGGAUCCGCAGUAAAUAUUAGCUCAUUUUUGUGUUUUUUUCUAAAAUCGGAACUGUUUAUUUCCGCGAAACCUGUAUGUUAUAUUUAUGUAAACUCUUCGCGUACUUUUAAAUCGCAAAAUCGUAAUUUCGGACUAGAAAAAUCCUCGGAAAAACCGGUUCUCGGUCGCGAUUUUAUUUGUUUAUAUCAGACUUUAAUACUUUAGUUCGUGUUUAAUUUAAUGUUUUUCUCCUAGUUCACCUUGUAGUUAAUACCAGAGUGUAAAUAUGCCUCAAAAGUGUUGUGUUCCGGGUUGUAACAGAAACUAUAAAAACGGACCUAAAGUGCAUGUCUUCGGUUUUCCUAAUGAUAUACCUAAAUCUAAGGGGAAAAUGGGUAAAAGCCAUACACAGAGAUGACUUUGAGCCCACAAACAACACCAAAGUAUGUGAAGCUCAUUUUCUUGAAGGUAGUAUAAUAAAGAGUACUAUAUUAUUCGUUUUAUUAUACAUAUUAAGUUCAAGAUUCCAACACAGGUAAAAUUUUUACAAUAGAAUUACUAAAACCACGGCUGAAACUUUUGAAACUUUUUUAUAUAGCGAGCCAGGGACGGAACUCUGUAACAAAAAUAGCGAAAACGAUUCUCUAUAAUCCUUAUCGCUUGGCCAUUUGUACUCCGUAACUACAAUCGGAUUAAAUCGCCACUGAUCGCGUGCGCUCGGAAUUUCUUUAAAUAAGGACAGAUAAAAUGUUCUCCUUAUUAAAAAGCUACUAUUUUCUUCUCACUCUAUUGUAUGUCGAAUUUCUACUUAUCUCUGUCUACUUUCAUGGAGUAGGUCACGUAAGGUAGGAAAUUUAUUAUUUACUUUUUUUUAGGUUAGUUUUUAUUAAUAUAGCUACGUACUACUUUAUUUUUCUUCUUUGUGAUAAUUUUUAAUUUGUGGAGUUUCUUAAAGACAAUUAAGUUAAAAUGGAUCUUCCAAUUCCAAUUAACAGAGCCCCAAAAACCAGCCCUGUGCAGUGGCAAGUGCUGGUCGAGUAUUUGAUGAAUUACCCAGAAAUGCUUACCAAGGCAUUUUCUGGGGUAAAUGGCCGGCAGCACUAUAAGAAAAUGUGGAGUGAAGCAGCCACCCAACUAAAUAGUAUGGGUUAUGGGUCUAAAACCCCAGAUAAGUGGAUAGAGGUAUACUUACAGUUAAAGCUAUAUGAUGUAAAUAUAAAUAUAUACAAGAUACAGACUUGUUGUGUAACUAUAUACAUGUAGUAUGUAAAAUUACAACAUUUUAAUAAUUGUCAAUGCAAUAAUAAUUGUGAUUAUUUGGUUUGAGGCAUUUUCCAAAUGGAAAAGCAAAGUUAAAGUAAAGGCUCAAACCAUAAAAUUGGCCAUGAACAGGACAGGUGGAGGAGGUCCAGUACCUCAACUGACUCCCAUCGAAGAAAAGUUAAUGGGUUUAAUUGGAUGGUCAGCUGUAGAAGGAGAUGCUACAGAGGAGUUAGGAUUAGUGACCCAAGAAAGCAUGGAAAAAAAAGGUAAUACUAGAAAAGCCUCGGGAACAGCAAUUGCAAGUACAUCUACCACAGCACCACAAUCCACACAAGUUAACGAAAAUAUAGAAGCUCAGAUAUGUGAACUACCUCCUUUGGUAGCAAUUGGCAGUGAAGAAACUCACUUACAGAAAAAUUGUAUAAAACGAAAGUUUAUAGGAAAGAUAAAUAAACAAAAUAAAAUUAGCAAAAUAGCUAUGAAGAAUGAUAAUAAAACACUCUUAAUGAUGCAUGAGGAGACUCUAAAAGUACUAAAGGAAAUUAAUGAAAAUCUUGCAAUAAUGGCAAAAAAUUCUGGGAAUUCAAAAUGCUGCUGUAAAUGCCAAUCUAAUUAAAUACAGCAUUUUGAUUUUAUUUAUGAUAAUAUGUAUAUCUAAUAAUCCGUCCACUUUAAGUUACACUGUAUAAAUAUAUUAUGUAUUUAAGUUCCCUUUAUAAACAUGAGUUCCUAUUUUUGUAAUGAAUUAAUAGUUUUGUUGUGGAUAUAAAUUAUUAGAUGUUCACCUGGAUGAUCCUUAUUUAAUAAAAGUGUUUUUAAUAUUA